rnacentral:lncRNA from 1 species
CGUGCGGCGGCGCGCGGACGCGGCCGGCGCGCACUCGCUCUUCUACUACAACGAGGCCGCGCCGCACGCCUGGCGGCUCACUGACUACACUGAAGACGGCACCAGCAGCCCGCGCGGCGCGCCGAGCCUGGGGUACGGGUCGGUGUGGGGCGGCGCCGAGCCCGCGUGGCUGUGGGGCGCGGACCCCGUGCGGCCGCCCCCCGGGUUCGCGCCGCCCGCCGCGCCGCGCGCCUACGACCCGUUCCGCUCGCUGGCCGCCAUCUGGGGGCCCGGCGCGCUGGACUGGCGCCGCGACCCCGACGACCCGCCGCCGGGGAACUGAACGUGUCCCCCCCGCCCCGCAGCGCUCUAGUCCGCCCCCCGCGCCGCGGCCCGCACUCCCCCGAGAGAUCGUCUGUUCAAGACUGAAUAAAACUUACGUUUCUUAAACUUA